AUACGGAGGGUGCAAGCGUUAAUCGGAAUUACUGGGCGUAAAGAGUACGUAGGUGGUUUAUUAAGUCAGAUGUGAAAGCCCCGGGCUCAACCUGGGAACUGCAUUUGAAACUGAUAAGCUAGAGUAUGGUAGAGGGGGGUAGAAUUUCUAGUGUAGCGGUGAAAUGCGUAGAUAUUAGAAGGAAUACCAGUGGCGAAGGCGGCCCCCUGGACCAAUACUGACACUGAGGUACGAAAGCGUGGGGAGCGAACAGGAUUAGAAACCCUUGUAGUCC
rnacentral:rRNA from 1 species